rnacentral:lncRNA from 1 species
GAAUGGGGAAAACCCGGAGUGUGGGAUCGUGGAGGGCGGACGAUGCCAAGUCCAGCAGAGCUUGCGCUCGGGGCUAGAAGAGAGACUGAGUCUCCCUUCUCAGUUUCAUUAGGUAAUGGGCGACAUGGCUCCGUCUCCACAGCGGGGCUUUGCUGAGCUUAGCACGCAGUCUCCCGGCGGGGAGGAGGCGCGCAGUGCCGGGCGCCACUCCGUCUCCAGUACGCGUUAGGCCCGCGUUCCCAGGUGCCCGUCUGGCCGCUGGACUGUUGGCCUUUCCGGAGCGAGUUUUACUUUAGGAAGAAGCCCGGGAUCCCGGUAGUUUAGCCUGAAGAAACGUGGGGCAGAUGCUGGGCAGGGCGGGGAUACCGCGCCAACACCCGCUGCCCAGCGGUCGCCCUCCUAUGCAGCGGCGAAGGGACGCCCGCUGUGUCUCCGCCCUGCCCCCAGGCGCCCCAGUGGCUGGAGGUGGCAUUCUCCACUGGACGGGCGCGCCUCAAUCCGGGGGACUUCCACAGUGCUGUUCCCGAGGACUACGCGUCUCAACUCUUUGUCGGGUUCCCUCCCUCCCACUGCCAGUCUGUCUUCACCGCCGCGCAGACCUGGGGCCGCCCUUCACAGAGGAAGGGCUCCUUGACCUCAGCCACCGUGACCCCCUCCUUUGUGUCACAUUCUCAGAGAGUUGGAGGGAUUAUGCGUCAUCGUAAACAGGGGGACAGAGCGCCUUCCACCUGCGGCGCAUCCAUUAAGUUCCAGUUACCCUCGAGAGGAUUGUUUUUUCCACGAAACCCAGAUGCAAUGAGAGCCUGGCUUGUACCAUCUCUAAGCAUCGAGGCUUCCCCCUCGUCUGGGUGGUGGCCUUCGGGCAGUGGCUCCGGAAAGGCCAUCAAGGCUUCCCCGUCGUCUGGAUGGUGGCCUUCGGGCAGUGGACUGUGUCCAUAGCUGAAAACCAGACUUGACAGUUCUGGAUUCAGGCUGUUGUGGGAGCGGGAAGGUCAAACACCCAGAAGGAACUGAUGAAUGUGAAUUUCCCUCUAAGAACUGCUUUGCCUGGCCGGGCGCGGUGGCUCACGCUUGUAAUUCCAGCACUUUGGGAGGCUGAGGUGGGUGGAUGCCGAGGUGAGUGGAUCACGAGGUCAGGAGUUCGAGACCAGCCUGACCAACAUAGUGAAACCCCCGUCUCUACUAAAAAUACAAAAAUUAGCCGGGC